UUUCCGUAGGUGAACCUGCGGAAGGAUCAUUAUUGAAAUAAACCUGAUGGGUUGUUGCUGGUUCUCUAGGGAGCAUGUGCACGCCUUGUCAUCUUUAUAUCUCCACCUGUGCACCUUUUGUAGACCUUUCAGGUCUAUGUUUGCUUCAUUUACCCCAAUGUAUGUUAAUAGAAUGUUGUGCCUAUAUAAUAUAUACAACUUUCAGCAACGGAUCUCUUGGCUCUCGCAUCGAUGAAGAACGCAGCGAAAUGCGAUAAGUAAUGUGAAUUGCAGAAUUCAGUGAAUCAUCGAAUCUUUGAACGCACCUUGCGCUCCUUGGUAUUCCGAGGAGCAUGCCUGUUUGAGUGUCAUUAAUAUCUAUAUCAACCCUCCUUCUCUUGUGUAGGAGUGGUUUGGAUUUGGGGGUUUGCUGGCCUCUUUAAAAGGUUCAGCUCCCCUGAAAUGCAUUAGCAGAACAAUCCUUGUUCAUUGGCGUGAUAACUAUCUAUGCUAUUGAAUGUGAGGUGCAGUUCAGCUUUCUAACAGUCCUUUGGACAAAUUUAUCAUUAAUGUGACCUCAAAUCAGGUAGGACUACCCGCUGAACUUAA
rnacentral:rRNA from 1 species